GUUCAGCUGACGAGUCCCAAAUAGGACGAAACACGCGUCCUGGAU
rfam:Schistosoma mansoni strain Puerto Rico chromosome 2, complete genome